rnacentral:rRNA from 1 species
CCUACGGGAGGCAGCAGUGAGGAAUAUUGGUCAAUGGACGCAAGUCUGAACCAGCCAAGCCGCGUGCAGGAAGACGGCUCUAUGAGUUGUAAACUGCUUUUGUACGAGGGUAAACGCAGAUACGCGUAUCUGUCUGAAAGUAUCGUACGAAUAAGGAUCGGCUAACUUCGUGCCAGCAGCCGCGGUAAUACGGAGGAUGCGAGCGUUAUCCGGAUUUAUUGGGUUUAAAGGGUGCGUAGGCGGUCGGAUAAGUUAGAGGUGAAAUCCCGAGGCUCAACUUCGGAAUUGCCUCUGAUACUGUUAGGCUAGAGAGUAGUUGCGGUAGGCGGAAUGUAUGGUGUAGCGGUGAAAUGCUUAGAUAUCAUACAGAACACCGAUUGCGAAGGCAGCUUACCAGGCUACUACUGACGUUGAGGCACGAAAGCGUGGGGAGCAAACAGGAUUAGAUACCCGAGUAGUC